rnacentral:rRNA from 1 species
AUUGAACGCUGGCGGCAGGCUUAACACAUGCAAGUCGAACGAGUGGCGGACGGGUGAGUAAUGCUUGGGAAUCUAGCUUAUGGAGGGGGAUAACUACUGGAAACGGUAGCUAAUACCGCAUACCAUCAGAUGAACCCAUAUGGGAUUCGCUGGUAGGUAAGGUAACGGCUUACCUAGGCGACGAUCCCUAGCUGGUCGGAGAGGAUGAUCAGCCACACUGGGACUGGGACACGGCCCAGACUCCUACGGGAGGCAGCAGUGGGGAAUAUUGCACAAUGGGGGCAAGCCUGAUGCAGCCAUGCCGCGGGUAUGAAGAAGGCCUUAGGGUUGUAAAGUACUUUCAGCGGGGAGGCGUUACCCGCAGAAGAAGCAACGGCUAACUCCGUGCCAGCAGCCGCGGUAAUUC